UACAGAGGGGGCAAGCGUUAUUCGGAAUUAUUGGGCGUAAAGGGCGCGUAGGCGGCUUGGCAAGUGGAAGGUGAAAUCCCCUCGGCUUAACCGAGGAACUGCCCUCCAAACUGCUUGGCUUGAGACCGGGAGAGGUGAGUGGAAUUCCCAGUGUAGCGGUGAAAUGCGUAGAUAUUGGGAGGAACACCAGUGGCGAAGGCGGCUCACUGGACCGGUACUGACGCCUGAUGCGCGAAAGCGUGGGGGAGCAAACGGG
rnacentral:rRNA from 1 species